UUUUUUUUUUCAAACUAUCGGCGCAAAUCCGUCCUCUCUCCACGUGACGGUCCGAGCCCGCGACGACCAAUGCGGAGCUGAACUUACUGGAGGAGCUGCACCAUAUGAGCUGCACCGAAUCUCUGCACCGUUUAUCAGCCUUCUUGUGCUUGACACGCUCAUUUGAUGAGUAAUAUUUGACUCUUGUUUAGACCGUUUUCUUUCUGCUCAGCAUAUAGUGAUCAAUCCACAGUUCCCUUAAUGUCCAGCCGCAUAAAUUUUUAAGAAGACAAAAAAAACUUCCUAUGCAGUGGACGUGUAAGUACUGCACAUUUUGUGCUGAAGAGAGGGGCUAUUUACUUAAGCGUAAUGCAUCGGUGCCACACCCGAAUAUCACCACUACCCUGCCUUUUUAUACUAACCCAUAGCCUUAGCCUUAUUCUUACUAACCCAUUGCAUUAGCAUUCCAUUCCACUUUAUUUUAUUACUUGUGCACUGUUGUCUUGUCUGUCUACUGUCGCGCACUAAUCGCCAAGACAAAUUCCUUGUAUGUUUGACAUAUUUUGGCUAAUAAAUGUUUCCUGAUUCCUGAUUCAUAAGGAGUGUCUGUGCACAUUUAAAUCUUUCAAUGCACUCAAA
ensembl:lncRNA